GACGAAGGGGGCUAGCGUUGUUCGGAAUUACUGGGCGUAAAGCGAGUGUAGGUGGUUGUCCAAGUUGGAUGUGAAAGCCUUGAGCUCAACUCAAGAAAUGCAUUCAGGACUGGAUGGCUAGAGGACCGGAGAGGAUAGUGGAAUUCCCAGUGUAGUGGUGAAAUACGUAGAGAUUGGGAAGAACACCAGUGGCGAAGGCGGCAUCCUGGACCGGCAUUGACGCUGAGGCGCGAAAGCUAGGGGAGCAAACGGG
rnacentral:rRNA from 1 species